GAUGAACGCUGGCGGCGUGCCUAAUACGUGCAAGUCGAGCGAACUGAUUAGAAGCUUGCUUCUAUGACGUUAGCGGCGGACGGGUGAGUAACACGUGGGCAACCUGCCUGUAAGACUGGGAUAACUUCGGGAAACCGAAGCUAAUACCGGAUAGGAUCUUCUCCUUCAUGGGAGAUGAUUGAAAGAUGGUUUCGGCUAUCACUUACAGAUGGGCCCGCGGUGCAUUAGCUAGUUGGUGAGGUAACGGCUAACCAAGGCAACGAUGCAUAGCCGACCGGGGAGGGGGAUCGGCCACACUGGGACUGAGACACGGACCAGACUCCUACGGGAGGCAGCAGUAGGGAAUCUUCCGCAAUGGACGAAAGUCUGACGGAGCAACGCCGCGUGAGUGAUGAAGGCUUUCGGGUCGUAAAACUCUGUUGUUAGGGAAGAACAAGUACAAGAGUAACUGCUUGUACCUUGACGGUACCUAACCAGAAAGCCACAGCUAACUACGUGCCAGCCGCCGCAGUAAAAC
rnacentral:rRNA from 1 species